rnacentral:ncRNA from 1 species
UGAUAGCGAAGAAGCGAGAGGUUGCUGCUAGUGAGGAAUCAUAUAGCAGGUUUUCCGUGGAGCGAAUGUCAAGUUAGGAAACUGGCGACAA